AGAGGAUUCCCUAGUAGCGGCGAGCGAAGCGGGAAGAGCUCAAAUUUAUAAUCUGGCACCUUCGGUGUCCGAGUUGUAAUCUCUAGAAGUGUUUUCCGCGUUGGACCGCGCAUAAGUCUGUUGGAAUACAGCGGCACAGUGGUGAGACCCCCGUAUGUGGUGCGGAUGCCCAGCGCUUUGUGAUACACUUUCGAAGAGUCGAGUUGUUUGGGAAUGCAGCUCAAAUUGGGUGGUAAAUUCCAUCUAAAGCUAAAUAUUGGCGAGAGACCGAUAGCGAACAAGUACCGUGAGGGAAAGAUGAAAAGCACUUUGGAAAGAGAGUUAACAGUACGUGAAAUUGUUGGAAGGGAAACGCUUGAAGUCAGACUUGCUUGCCGGGCAACCGGUUUGCAGGCCAGCAUCAGUUUUCCGGGGUGGAUAAUGGUAGAGAGAAGGUAGCAGUUUCGGCUGUGUUAUAGCUCUCUACUGGAUACACCUUGGGGGACUGAGGAACGCAGUGUGCCUUACGGCGGAGGUUUCGACCUCUUCACACUUAGGAUGCUGGUGGAAUGGCUUUAAACGACCCGUCUUGAAACACCGGACCAACUG
rnacentral:rRNA from 1 species